rnacentral:antisense_RNA from 1 species
CCAGCCAGCACAGCCCACCUCUCCUCUCCAGGCCAGGGCCCCACACACCUCCCGCCUGACAGCCAGCCAAGCUCUUCAGUCCCCCGCCCUCCACCUGCCAGGGAGGCUCCGGGCGUUAUACCUGCCACCACGGGACACAUAUACUCAUAGAAAUGAGUUAUUUAAAGAAGACGGUCCAGAUUCCACAGUCCAAAAAAAAAAAGAGGUUUGCCCUGCUUCCGAAGGAGUCAGGAUAUGAAUGCAGAGGUCUUCCUGUUGGCUCACAUAUCAGACCUUCAACGUCAACAUUAAAUGCGAGUGAUGCUUCCCCCUCUGUGAAUGUGGCUUUGGGUAUGGCUAAUCCACACCCUGCACUCUGGCCUUCAGAAGCCCAGGGAGAGAAGCCUCCCAGAAGCAACCUUCCAGAACCUUCUCCAUCCUCCCACCGACCUCCCCAGCCCCUGUCCUCUCUUUGAAUCUCGUUGUCAAGUUCUUUCCGCAGACGCCUGGCUCCUUGAGGGGAGGUGCAGCUUUCAUCUGACCAUGCAGGCGUGCUUUGCAGUGGGUAGAGCAGUGCUGAAAGAACAUCAGUGUAUCAGCACAGCAAAUAUUCCAAAUGCCAGGCUGGAUUCCCUCCAAUUACCAGAACCUCCAGGCUUCUCCUCCUUUCAAGAACUUUCUGACCCUGGAUCCAGUCUAAAUGUUGGUUAUAAACUCACCUGACAUCCACAGGGCCCUUCCAAAGUACUGUCAAGGCUGACUGCUGGUGCCUGGAACCUGCACACCCUCCUGGGACUCUGCAUCUCUGCUGGGGCUGGUUUCUCCUCUGAGCCACCUUAAGGAAUCCCAUCCUGACCCGGUCAGAGCUCAGCAUGCCUCCCUCUCCUACUUGCUCAGCAUUUUCUGUCUAUCUAGACUGAAGCCUUUGCUUUCUCUCUGUGAUUGUGGUGAAAGUUCAGUUUGCUUUCCUCUCUCUAGAAUGUCAGCAUGAAGGCAGAGGGAUGGUCUCCUGAGUUCCAUAACCCCAAAGCCUAACUCCCUGCCUGCCACACUGAGGGGCUCAGUAGACAUUGACUUACUAAAUUGAAUAGUUGAGUAAUAAUGCUCUUUGAAAUAAUUUGGAGUUAGAUCUUGAGCCUUGUGUGGCCAGGGGAUGGGUGAGGACACAUCAUAAAAACUAAAGGUAACUGAGCAUGCCAGCAGUUGGGGUGAGAAAUUUGCAUGGAGCACUCCAGACGCAGAGGCAGUGCUGGGAAAGAACCCAAGUGCUGGGAAGUCAGAGUGAGAGAGUGAAGGGGCAGUGAGUGCUUCUUUAGGAGCUGGAUCAAAACCUAAGAUGAUCUGGCCACAUGGUGCAGACUGAGCACACACUUGGGAGAGAAAUGGGCCAGGAGGAGAGGAGAGAGGUUCACCACAGGACAGUGGAUGACUGGGAAUAGAAGCCCUCCCCAUGGUGGACCAAGAAGUCUGUGAAGCUGAGAGAAAGACAAAAGAAAUCACGACUUCUGUAGGUAGCUGGGAUGGAAACCUCAGGGGUGACAGGGUCUUUAAAGGAAAUCUCAAGGAAGGCAUCAUGUUCCGGGUGUGCUCCAGGGAUGCUGAGUAAGAAAAGACCAGCCUUUCUGUGUGUGUCUUUACUCUGCCACAAGGCACCUGGGCUCCUAAAUGACCAACACACAUGUGCUAUACUGGUGCCAAGAAAGAAGGGUGUUUUGUAGGAAAGUCAAGGUGAGAGGAGGUGCCCAGGGCUUGGCUCCUUUCUUUGAAGGGUGAUGGUGUAAAUUCUCCAUGCUGGGGAUCCUACUGAUGGAUGGAGGCAUGUCGACCUCAUCAUUUCACAGAGUGGGGAGCUAUGGCCACAACGUGCCUAUCACACAAGUCCAGCCUCACGUCAGCUGGACACCAGCUGUUCUGACACUUGUCAGCACAUGGGGCACCCGGAAGUUCACGGUGUUCUGCAAAGAACGCCACAAAACAGUGAGCUCAACUUCUUGAAAGUCAUAAUGUGUUGCUAAGUCCGAUCCCAGAUCCUAAAAAUAAUAUGAGGUAGUGGCCAUUGAACAGAAAAAAUUUACAUCUUAAACUUGAAGAUAAGUACAAGUGUACCUUUUUCUACCACUGUUGUUCAGUUUUAUUAUAUUGACAAGCACCUCUGCCCACCCUAUGGGGUAAAACUGUUUGAAAGUGUUUAUGAAAGUUUUAUAUAAAUAUUGGCUGAUCAAAUGUACAAAAUAUGCAUGAUGGCACCAUAUUGUGUAUAAUAGUGACAAAUACAGUCCAUGUGGGUGGAGAAACAA